rnacentral:rRNA from 1 species
GAACGCUGGCGGCAGGCUUAACACAUGCAAGUCGAGCGGGGAAGGGUAGCUUGCUACCUAACCUAGCGGCGGACGGGUGAGUAAUGCUUAGGAAUCUGCCUAUUAGUGGGGGACAACAUUCCGAAAGGAAUGCUAAUACCGCAUACGUCCUACGGGAGAAAGCAGGGGACCUUCGGGCCUUGCGCUAAUAGAUGAGCCUAAGUCAGAUUAGCUAGUUGGUGGGGUAAAGGCCUACCAAGGCGACGAUCUGUAGCGGGUCUGAGAGGAUGAUCCGCCACACUGGGACUGAGACACGGCCCAGACUCCUACGGGAGGCAGCAGUGGGGAAUAUUGGACAAUGGGCGCAAGCCUGAUCCAGCCAUGCCGCGUGUGUGAAGAAGGCCUUUUAGUUGUAAAGCACUUUAAGCGAGGAGGAGGCUACCGAGAUUAAUACUCUUGGAUAGUGGACGUUACUCGCAGAAUAAGCACCGGCUAACUCUGUGCCAGCAGCCGCGGUAAU